GAUGAACGCUAGCGGCAGGCUUAAUACAUGCAAGUCGUGGGGCAGCAUGAGUAGCAAUACUUGAUGGCGACCGGCAAACGGGUGCGGAACACGUACGCAACCUUCCUUCAGGCGGGGAAUAGCCCAGAGAAAUUUGGAUUAAUACCCCAUAAAAUUUUGAGAUGGCAUCAUCUUAUUAUUAAAGCUUCGGCACCUGAUGAUGGGCGUGCGGCUGAUUAGGUAGUUGGCGGGGUAACGGCCCACCAAGCCUACGAUCAGUAGCUGAUGUGAGAGCAUGAUCAGCCACACGGGCACCGAGACACGGGCCCGACUCAUACGGGAGGCAGCAGUAAGGAAUAUUGGUCAAUGGACGAAAGUCUGAACCAGCCAUGCCGCGUGGAGGAUGAAGGUCCUCUGGAUUGUAAACUUCUUUUAUUUGGGACGAAAAAAGGGAAUUCUUUCCCACUUGACGGUACCAGAUGAAUAAGCACCGGCUAACUCCGUGCCAGCCGCCGCCGUAACAC
rnacentral:rRNA from 1 species